rnacentral:rRNA from 1 species
GACGAACGCUGGCGGCGUGCUUAACACAUGCAAGUCGAACGGAAAGGCCCUGCUUUUGUGGGGUGCUCGAGUGGCGAACGGGUGAGUAACACGUGAGUAACCUGCCCUUGACCUUGGGAUAACUUCAGGAAACUGGGGCUAAUACUGGAUAGGAGCUCCUGCUGCAUGGUGGGGGUUGGAAAGUUUCGGCGGUUGGGGAUGGACUCGCGGCUUAUCAGCUUGUUGGUGGGGUAGUGGCUUACCAAGGCUUUGACGGGUAGCCGGCCUGAGAGGGUGACCGGCCACAUUGGGACUGAGAUACGGCCCAGACUCCUACGGGAGGCAGCAGUGGGGAAUAUUGCACAAUGGGCGGAAGCCUGAUGCAGCAACGCCGCGUGCGGGAUGACGGCCUUCGGGUUGUAAACCGCUUUCGCCUGUGACGAAGCGUGAGUGACGGUAAUGGGUAAAGAAGCACCGGCUAACUACGUG